ensembl:lncRNA
ACCGAGCACAAAACACACAAAAGCAAAGGGCUGACUAAAGCAGCAAAAACGACUAUAAGAAAUGGUACAAGUACUUACAAUAAACGGCAACACACACAACAUCCAAACAUUACAAGCACAAUGAGCCACAAUGUGGGGAGCAGAGGGGAAACAUAUAUACACAUACAAACGAUUCAAAUUGGGACCUGGUGUGGAGGAUUGAAAACAUGUGACAGUCUGGGAUGUGUUCGUGAGAAAUGGAAACUGAGAAACUAUGGCACGGUGGCGCUGCUGCUCACCGCACCAUGACACAAGUAUACAAAAUUUUUUAAUAACUGGGUCCAUUGUCACUCAAUGAACUGUUUCUGUACUACGUUUUGUCCUAAAGUACAACACUGUAAGUAUACUGCUUUUUAACUUUAGGUUGCUUGCUUAGUGUAAACUGUUGACCUGGCUGGCUGAUAAAGAAAACUAUGGUCCAGAAGCAUGUAAAUAAGGAUCCAAAUAUUUAAAAACGUCCGUUCCGUUCUCUAAUUGUUAGGGUUACAGUAUCUCACAAAAGUAAAUAUACUGACAUUUCUCUAACCAAUGUAUUCUCACUGAUUGAAGGACUGAGUACCCUUGUUCAAAUUAGAAAAGGAAUAUGGGUGAUCUGGUAUUUGCCUAGGGGGCAUCAUUGACUGGUAUCAGCAGAUGAAAUGGUUACUCUUUAUCUGCGCAUCUGUAUAACUCAUCAGGGCAUCUAUUGUCUGUCCAGAUGCUGUAAGAGCUCUUUAGAGUUCUAUAGGUUACCCAUGUGGGGGGAGGACAGUUUUCCCCUUUUGUGAAGACUAGGUAGUAACAUAAAAAAGGGAAUGUGUUUAAUUGACAUAGGACAGAUGGGCAACAACUUACCACACCCCACACUGUUGAUGUAUUAAGUUAGAGACUCCUCGGACGAUUAUGUUUGUUAUCGUUUGAAGUGUCUCUCUAAUUUGCAAAUAAUAAUAAAACUGUUACAUUGUGCCAAGAGAAUUUCGUCUCUGUACUUCCUCAUUAAAGAGUUCUCAUCGAUAGAAUUGCCAUCACAAUACCCACAUUUACCCACAAUACAUCACAUUUUUGCUAAUAUUUGAUUAUGUCUUUUUAUGUGACAACACUGAAGAAAUGACACUAUGCUACAAUGUGAAGUAGUGAGUGUACAGCUUGUAUAACAGUGUACAUUUGCUGUCCCUUCAAAAUAACUCAACACAAAGCCAUUAAUGUCUAAACUGGGCCCAAAGUGUCAAUAUUUUGUGUGGCCACCAUUAUUUUCCAGCACUGCCUUAACCCUCUUGGGCAUGGAGUUCAAUUUAAUUGUAAGCAUGGACCAGAAAGUAAUAUUAAACUCAAAUGUUCCUCUAUACUCCAAUACAGAAAGAAAAAUGAAGAACAGAUUGGAAUCCCUCAACUGCUAUUAUCACUAAGCAUGUGUCUCUCACUGGGGUAGGAUAAAUAAAAGUUAGCUACUUACAAACACACACAAGGCCGUUGAACGAAAUACAGGCACAGACAGACAAACAGUCAGACCGACAAAAAAGCUCCCAUACUUGACGCUCCAAUUCCUCUCUGCCCUCCCUCUUUUCCUGAAGACAGCCGGCUUCUCCUCUGUCGCUGGCCACUUCUUCCCUCCUCCAAUUAGACUGUAGUGUCUCUGUGCCAUGGUCAUCCAUUGGUCUGUGUCCCCUAGUACCAAGUACAGUCAGCCACAGGGUGUGUGGGCAGGGAAAACAUUGGUCUUUGUGUAUGUAUACGUGUGUAUAUUCGUGUGUGUGGCCCUGAUCAGCACUCUGACAGAGACCAAGCUUGGUAUGAUUAGUUCCUACAGAAUAUAAAAGGCCAUAAUUCCAGUUAGUAAGAGACUGUGCAUAUGCAGCUCCUUGAUAAGAGCAAGUUCAGCACUCAGACAUGGUAUCAAAUUCUAAUACAAAGGACAAUUUACAUAGCCUUUCUUUUCAUGCUUUUUUCUGCUUGUAGCUUAUCUUCCUAAUAGUUUUUCAUUUUAGUUUUGUUACAAAGAGACUUGGUUUUCACAUUUUUCUAAUUCUUCAAUUGACUAAAAUAAAUUUUGAAAAUGUAUGUAAGCAUCUACGCAACACUCAAAACCAACCAUCUUAUACAUCAGAAUCUCCUUCUGAUUGGUGCCUCCACACACCGAAGACAUCACUGGAUAAGCCAUUCUCUGUUACAAGAGAAAAUGUAAAAUGUUAGAAAGAUUUCAAACAGUAUAUGAAUCUAGGUCUACUCCUCUCCAUAGGCCUAGGCCUGGUUCAGCAUAUGUUCUAUAGCACUGAUGACAGAUGGUAGGCCAAUGUGCCAAAACUGAGCAAGGGUACAGGGUGCUUUUUUUCCAUCCCUGCGCACUCUGUUAUUCAUAUAACAAUAAACUCGGAAUAAACAACUAUCAGGUGAGCAUUUGACCUUAUGUCACGGACCAAUAUUGGCUAACUUUUAAGUGUAGAAUUUAUUUUAUGAUGGCCUCAUGUCACUCCCACCUAGGGAUGAGUACCAUUUGAAAUGUUUUGGUUUUGGUACCAGUUCCUUGUUUUGGUUACCAAAUUCUAAUGAUUACAUUUUUCACCAUCAAAUUAAAAGUUAAAUAGCUUAUACGAAAGCACUCAAUUUCUGUUUAAUAUUUAACAUCAUCCAUUCCUCUUGUAACAGAAAUGGAACCAUAUUUUUAAAAGCAUUUCAAUAGUAAUAGGUCUCAACAUGACCUGGACAAAAUUCUGUACCCGUCCCUACUCUCAUCUAUUUUUCCCCUCGGUAUCUGUCAAAAAAAAACAAUGCCCAAAAAUAUUGCUGUAAGCAGCCAUUAAGGGGACCAAAAUACAAUUUUGAAGCCCCUUGGAAUGUAUAUGUUACUGUAACUAAGCAACGGUCUUUACAUUUCCAACUUCAAUUAAAGCUACAAGCAGCAUUUAGUGGGUUUCAGCAUUUAGUUUGCAUGAAAAUUAUGCAAUAUGGUAUGUAGGGUAAAAGACAAGCUGUACACAUGUACAAACCCAAUGUUGUAAGGAUGUUUUUUCCUGUCCAAUGGUUACCCCAUGCAGUUUUUUACAUACUGGUCUGGUUCAUACAACACUUGAAGAUCUUCAUAAAUAGAUGCCAAAUGUAAAACUACAUCAAGAUUGGUCAUUUGCUGCCAAAUGAGUAGUGUUUUAGGUGUUUUUCAAAACAACUAAGAUGGCUGAAAAUACAUGAUGGCGAUUUUCUGGGUCUUAACGGCAAACAUUUUCAUAGUGAGGAGAUACACCUAUGGACUGAUUUCCAAGACCAGGUCAAAAGGGAUGAGUGUGGUGACCUUUCAAAAAGUCCAACUUCAUCUGAUUGGCAUGUCCACUGCACCAGAAGUUGUGUUUCUUGACGCUUUACUAUAUUAACCCUUUGACGCGUACGAUCACACCAUUUCCUGAUUGUAAUUGUUUCAAGACCACACCAUGUUAUUAACCAGGUAGCAAGCAUAAAAAAAGUGUUACUUACGUACCAACAGGUAGCCAACACUAGAAGUUAGAUUUUCUACAAUAAACAUAAUACGCAAAAACGAAUUAUAUUAGCGACUACUAUAGAGCAUCUAACCAUUUCCUGAAAGAGCUGACAACCUGUCAAAAUCAUUGUGUAAAAACUUUCAAGUUACGUUACCUGUUGAGGGUGCUGCUAUGCUUUUUAUCAAUCAAAGAUAAAGAAAGAUGUGGUUUUGCUAUUGAGAACUCACGCUUCAACAAAGGUAUUGCCAUCCGGAAAAGGUCCCCUAGACCAGCCCCAUACAGUGCAGCGCUACC